rnacentral:rRNA from 1 species
GACGAACGCUGGCGGCGUGCUUAACACAUGCAAGUCGAACGGAAAGGCCCUGCUUUUGUGGGGUGCUCGAGUGGCGAACGGGUGAGUAACACGUGAGUAACCUGCCCUUGACUUUGGGAUAACUUCAGGAAACUGGGGCUAAUACCGGAUAGGAGCUCCUGCUGCAUGGUGGGGGUUGGAAAGUUUCGGCGGUUGGGGAUGGACUCGCGGCUUAUCAGCUUGUUGGUGGGGUAGUGGCUUACCAAGGCUUUGACGGGUAGCCGGCCUGAGAGGGUGACCGGCCACAUUGGGCCUGAGAUCCGGCCCAGACUCCUCCGGGAGGCAGCAGUGGGGAUUAUUGCACAAUGGGCGGAGGCCGGAUGCAGCAACGCCGCGUGCGGGAUGACGGCCUUCGGGUUGUAAACCGCUUUCGCCUGUGACGAAGCGUGAUUGACGGUAAUGGGUAAAGAAGCACCGGCUAACUCCGU